rnacentral:rRNA from 2 species
UGCAGUCGACGAUGAAGCCCAGCUUGCUGGGUGGAUUAGUGGCGAACGGGUGAGUAACACGUGGGUGAUCUGCCCUGCACUUCGGGAUAAGCCCGGGAAACUGGGUCUAAUACCGGAUAUGACUUCCUGCUGCAUGGCGGGAAGUGGAAAGUUUUUCGGUGCAGGAUGAGCCCGCGGCCUAUCAGCUUGUUGGUGGGGUAAUGGCCUACCAAGGCGACGACGGGUAGCCGGCCUGAGAGGGCGACCGGCCACACUGGGACUGAGACACGGCCCAGACUCCUACGGGAGGCAGCAGUGGGGAAUAUUGCACAAUGGGCGCAAGCCUGAUGCAGCGACGCCGCGUGAGGGAUGACGGCCUUCGGGUUGUAAACCUCUUUCACCAGGGACGAAGCGCAAGUGACGGUACCUGGAGAAGAAGCACCGGCCAACUACGUGCCAGCAGCCGCGGUAAUACGUAGGGUGCGAGCGUUGUCCGGAAUUACUGGGCGUAAAGAGCUCGUAGGCGGUUUGUCGCGUCGUCUGUGAAAUCCCGCAGCUCAACUGCGGGCGUGCAGGCGAUACGGGCAGACUAGAGUACUGCAGGGGAGACUGGAAUUCCUGGUGUAGCGGUGAAAUGCGCAGAUAUCAGGAGGAACACCGGUGGCGAAGGCGGGUCUCUGGGCAGUAACUGACGCUGAGGAGCGAAAGCGUGGGUAGCGAACAGGAUUAGAUACCCUGGUAGUCCACGCCGUAAACGGUGGGCGCUAGGUGUGGGUUUCCUUCCACGGGAUCCGUGCCGU